rnacentral:rRNA from 1 species
UACGGAAGGCAGCAGUGGGGAAUAUUGCACAAUGGGCGCAAGCCUGAUGCAGCCAUGCCGCGUGUGUGAAGAAGGCCUUCGGGUUGUAAAGCACUUUUGUCCGGAAAGAAAAGCUUAGGGUUAAUAACCUUGAGUCAUGACGGUACCGGAAGAAUAAGCACCGGCUAACUUCGUGCCAGCAGCCGCGGUAAUACGAAGGGUGCAAGCGUUACUCGGAAUUACUGGGCGUAAAGCGUGCGUAGGUGGUUUGUUAAGUCUGAUGUGAAAGCCCUGGGCUCAACCUGGGAAUGGCAUUGGAAACUGGCUUACUAGAGUGCGGUAGAGGGGUGUGGAAUUCCCGGUGUAGCAGUGAAAUGCGUAGAUAUCGGGAGGAACAUCUGUGGCGAAGGCGACACCCUGGGACCAGCACUGACACUGAGGCACGAAAGCGUGGGGAGCAAACGAGGAUUAGGAUAACC